GAUGAACGCUGGCGGCGUGCCUAAUACAUGCAAGUCGAGCGAACAGACGAGGAGCUUGCUCCUCUGACGUUAGCGGCGGACGGGUGAGUAACACGUGGAUAACCUCCUUAUAUGACGGGGAUAACUUCGGGAAACCGGAGCUAAUACCGGAUAAUUUCUUGAACCGCAUGGGUCAAUGGUGAAAUACGGUUUUGCUGUCACUUUUAGGUGUUUCCGGGCCGCCUUUGCUGGUUGGUAGGGUAACGGCUUACAAAGGUAACGAUGCUUAGCCGACCUGAGAGGGGGAUCGGCCACUCUGGAGCUGAGACACGGCCCAGACACCUACGGGAGGCAGCAGUAGGGAAGCUUCCGCACUGGGCGAAAGACUGACGGAGCAACGCCGCGUGAGUGAUGAAGGGCUUCGGAUCGUAAAACUCUGUUAUUAGGGAAGAACAAAUGUGUAAGUAACUAUGCACGUCUUGACGGUACCUAAACAGAAAGCCACGGCAAACUACGU
rnacentral:rRNA from 1 species